rnacentral:rRNA from 1 species
GUAGGUGGCAAGCGUUGUCCGGAAUUAUUGGGCGUAAAGCGCGCGCAGGUGGUUCUUUAAGUCUGAUGUGAAAGACCCCCGGGCUCAACCGGGGAGGGUCAUUGGAAACUGGGGAACUUGAGUGCAGGAGAGGAAAGUGGAAUUCCACGUGUAGCGGUGAAAUGCGUAGAUAUGUGGAGGAACACCAGUGGCGAAGGCGACUUUCUGGCCUGUAACUGACACUGAGGCGCGAAAGCGUGGGGAGCAAACAGGAUUAGAUACCCUGGUAGUCCACGCCGUAAACGAUGAGUGCUAAGUGUUGGGGGGGUUUCCGCCCCUCAGUGCUGCAGCUAACGCAUUAAGCACUCCGCCUGGGGAGUACGGUCGCAAAGACUG